UGGCGCCGGCGCACGGGUGAGUAACGCGUAUGCAACUUACCUAUCAGAGGGGGAUAGCCCGGCGAAAGUCGGAUUAAUACCCCAUGAAACAGGGGUCCCGCAUGGGAAUAUUUGUUAAAGAUUCAUCGCUGAUAGAUAGGCAUGCGUUCCAUUAGGCAGUUGGCGGGGUAACGGCCCACCAAACCGACGAUGGAUGGGGGUUCUGAGAGGAAGGUCCCCCACAUUGGUACUGAGACACGGACCAA
rnacentral:rRNA from 1 species